rnacentral:rRNA from 1 species
UAGGGAAUCUUCCGCAAUGGGCGAAAGCCUGACGGAGCAACGCCGCGUGAGUGAUGAAGGUCUUCGGAUCGUAAAACUCUGUUAUUAGGAAAGAACAAAUGUGUAAGUAACUAUGCACGUCUUGACGGUACCUAAUCAGAAAGCCACGGCUAACUACGUGCCAGCAGCCGCGGUAAUACGUAGGUGGCAAGCGUUAUCCGGAAUUAUUGGGCGUAAAGCGCGCGUAGGCGGUUUUUUAAGUCUGAUGUGAAAGCCCACGGCUCAACCGUGGAGGGUCAUUGGAAACUGGAAAACUUGAGUGCAGAAGAGGAAAGUGGAAUUCCAUGUGUAGCGGUGAAAUGCGCAGAGAUAUGGAGGAACACCAGUGGCGAAGGCGACUUUCUGGUCUGUAACUGACGCUGAUGUGCGAAAGCGUGGGGAUCAAACAGG